GCCGCUGCUCUCGUGGAAGAACACAGAGCCAAAUGCAUUAAAAAGGAUCAUAAUUAUGAAGAGAAUUAGAAAUGCAAUUCUAAUUGCAGAAGGAGCUUUUUAAACGCUGGAACGUGAAUACAUCACCCGUUAAAAACACGGCUAAUUACUAUUAAAUAGGGUCUACAAUAAUGAUUUGAGGGGUUGGUCAGGGGAAGCCUCUGUGAGGAAGUGGCAUUUGGGAUGAGAGCUGAGUGACAAGAAGGGCCCCCCUUCCCCGCACUCCUGCAAGGAUCUAAGGGGACGAAAUCCCAAGCCUUGCAAUUUACAAAGGUCCAGGGCUGGAGGGGCUGAGGCUGGCGAGAAGCAAGGUUGCAUGGGCCCUGGGCUAGGAUUUCAUUCUGAGGGUGAUGGGAAAUCACUGGUGAGUUUAAUGCAGGGUCAGGCUUGGAUCUGAUUUACAUUUUAACAAGAUGAUGCUGGCUGCUGUGUGGGGGAUGGACUGUAGGUCUGCGCAGGUGGAAGCACGGGAAGACCAUUUAGAAACUGGUGAACUGGACCCAGGGAAAAUGAGAACAGGAGUCCCUAGAGGGCAGCAAACAGCAUCUGCAGCUUGAAGCGAGAGCAGGGAGGCAGAAGCAGUGCUGGAUCACGCUGGACUCUGGCUCAAAGACUCUGCACAGCAACUGACGCCACAAUUAAAUAGACAACGAAGGAACCGAUCGCUCCCGCAGCCAACACUAUAGUUCACCGUGGAGGACCCCGUGGACAGCUCCAAACCUCCCUCUGCAUGACCAUUUCCUGGGCGAAAGUCCUUUGAGCUAGGUGGGAAAUUUGGGCAGUACCCAACCUAUGUGGAGGAACCAUGUCCUGGCACUGGGCAAGUAGGAGAUUUAGAGCAUCAAAUCGAUGCUCGAUCCAACCCAUUGAUCACACCUCACCCCAUCACAGCAAGUUAGGUGUUUCUCUGCUUUUUGUUUGAGGCGUUACGUGAGAAUCUCUUAUCUGUAGGACUCUCCAGGGAGUUGUAUGUUGCGAUUCCAGUAGUGGAAAGAACAAAAUCAAAGCACUGUAUGGUGAAAUCCUCAAAGGGAAGGACCCAGAACUCACAUCCUUCAAGAUAUCAUCUGUACCUCG